rnacentral:rRNA from 1 species
UACGUAGGGGGCAAGCGUUGUCCGGAAUUACUGGGCGUAAAGAGCUCGUAGGCGGUUUGUCGCGUCUGCUGUGAAAUCCCAGGGCUUAACCCUGGGCCUGCAGUGGGUACGGGCAAACUAGAGUGCGGUAGGGGAGAUCGGAAUUCCUGGUGUAGCGGUGAAAUGCGCAGAUAUCAGGAGGAACACCGGUGGCGAAGGCGGAUCUCUGGGCCGUAACUGACGCUGAGGAACGAAAGCAUGGGUAGCGAACAGG